rnacentral:rRNA from 1 species
CACGCUGUAAACGAUGAGUGCUAGGUGUUGGGUAGCGAUACUCAGUGCCGCAGUAAACACAAUAAGCACUCCGCCUGGGGAGUACGGUCGCAAGACUGAAACUCAAAGGAAUUGACGGGG